CUGGUGCUGGUGGAUCAAGAUUUGGGGCAUCGACCGCCGCGACAGGGAGAAUCGGACACCUCUCCAUCUGGCGUCUGCAAACGGCCACACAGAGGUCGUCACAUUUCUAGUAAGGCACCGCUGCCAGUUGGAUGCUGCUGACAAUUUUGGGACAACACCCCUGAUGAUGGCAGUGCAGUUCCAGCACCAAGCCUGUGCUGUUUU